rnacentral:rRNA from 1 species
AGCAUAUGCUUGUCUCAAAGAUUAAGCCAUGCAAGUCUAAGUACACACGGCCGGUACAGUGAAACUGCGAAUGGCUCAUUAAAUCAGUUAUAGUUUAUUUGAUGGUACUUUACUACUCGGAUAACCGUAGUAAUUCUAGAGCUAAUACGUGCGUAAAUCCCGACUUCUGGAAGGGACGUAUUUAUUAGAUAAAAGGCCGACCGGGCUUGCCCGACUCGCGGUGAAUCAUGAUAACUUCACGAAUCGCAUGGCCUUGUGCCGGCGAUGUUUCAUUCAAAUUUCUGCCCUAUCAACUUUCAACCGUAGGGUAGUGGCCUACGGUGGUGGUAACGGGUGACGG